AAAAGUGCAAAUAGUGGUAGGU
rnacentral:miRNA from 1 species